rnacentral:rRNA from 1 species
AGGACGAACGCUGGCGGCGUGCUUAACACAUGCAAGUCGAGCGGUGAUCCUCCUUCGGGAGGUGAUCAGCGGCGAACGGGUGAGUAACACGUGGGCAACCUGCCCCUCACACUGGGAUAACCUCGGGAAACCGGGGCUAAUACCGGAUACGACCUCGAGCGGCAUCUCUUGAGGUGGAAAGCUCCGACGGUGAGGGAUGGGCCCGCGGCCUAUCAGCUUGUUGGUGGGGUAAUGGCCUACCAAGGCGACGACGGGUAGCCGGCCUGAGAGGGCGACCGGGCCACACUGGGACUGAGACACGGCCCAGACUCCUACGGGAGGCAGCAGUAGGGAAUUUUCCACAAUGGGCGAAAGCCUGAUGGAGCAACGCCGCGUGCAGGAUGAAUGCCUUCGGGUUGUAAACUGUCUUUUAUCUGUGACGAAUAUGACGGUAGCAGAUGAAUAAGGAUCGGCUAACGUCCGUGCCGAGCAGCCGC